UACGAAGGUCCCGAGCGUUGUUCGGAAUCACUGGGCGUAAAGGGAGCGUAGGCGGCGUGGUAAGUCAGAUGUGAAAUCCCGGGGCUCAACCCCGGAACUGCAUCCGAUACUGCCAUGCUAGAGUGAUGGAGAGGUAGCUGGAAUUCUUGGUGUAGCAGUGAAAUGCGUAGAGAUCAGAAGGAACACUCGUGGCGAAAGCGGGCUACUGGGCAUUUACUGACGCUGAGGCUCGAAAGCGAGGGUAGCAAAAGGG
rnacentral:rRNA from 1 species